CUUAGGCAGGAACCCAACACGCUGGAGUCAUCUCAGCCUAAUACCUUCCCAAUUAAUUAUUUUAACACAUGGUAACUCAUUUCUGCUGGCCCUUCCCUUGUGAACUGUGCCCAUGGACCACCCAGGCAAAUGCAGGCCUCCUCCUACUUACUAGUGGUGCUGUUCCAAGUUGAAUCAUGUUCUCUAUAUAACUAAAAAAAAUUUUCACAUGUAAAAUAUGCCAAUUCUCUAACAGUGCACAGAAGAGGAAGAGGACAUAAAGACUUAGAAGACAUGUCUCUAUGACUGAAGGACACAUAGUGCAGAUGGGAAAACCAGACCUUGUGAAUAAAAGCUCAUAUUUAUUGACUGCAAGACACUCCAAAUAGCACUUAGAAUCAAAUUCUGCAGGACUGUGGUAGAAAUAGUGAUGGGACUUUCUGGCACUAGGGUUUAAAAGUAAGGAAUGGAGGCAAUUUCUGACAGGUGCAGUUCAGCGAUGCCAAGAGUAUUCUUCUCCCACGCCCCAAGGCUCAUUCCUUAAAUUCCUUCUCCUCCCUAGAAACCACACCAAAG
rnacentral:lncRNA from 1 species